rnacentral:rRNA from 1 species
AGUGAACGCUGGCGGUAGGCCUAACACAUGCAAGUCGAACGGCAGCACAGUAAGAGCUUGCUCUUACGGGUGGCGAGUGGCGGACGGGUGAGGAAUACAUCCGAAUCUACUUUUUCUUGGGGGAUAACGUAGGGAAACUUACGCUAAUACCGCAUACGACCUACGGGUGAAAGCAGGAGAUCUUCGGACCUUGCGCGAUUCAAUGAGCCGAUGUCGGAUUAGCUAGUUGGCGGGGUAAAGGCCCACCAAGGCGACGAUCCGUAGCUGGUCUGAGAGGAUGAUCAGCCACACUGGGACUGAGACACGGUCCAGACUCCUACGGGAGGCAGCAGUGGGGAAUAUUGGACAAUGGGGGCAAGCCUGAUCCAGCCAUACCGCGUGGGUGAAGAAGGCCUUCGGGUUGUAAAGCCCUUUUGUUGGGAAAGAAAAGCAGCAGGUUAAUACCCCGCUGUUCUGACGGUACCCAAAGAAUAAGCACCGGCUAACUUCGUG